UGAGGAAUAUUGGACAAUGGAGGAGACUCUGAUCCAGCCAUGCCGCGUGCAGGAAGACUGCCCUAUGGGUUGUAAACUGCUUUUAUAUAGGAAGAAACCUGACCACGUGUGGUUGGCUGACGGUACUAUAUGAAUAAGCACCGGCUAACUCCGUGCCAGCAGCCGCGGUAAUACGGAGGGUGCAAGCGUUAUCCGGAAUCAUUGGGUUUAAAGGGUCCGUAGGCGGGUCAUUAAGUCAGAGGUGAAAUCCCACAGCUUAACUGUGGAACUGCCUUAGAUACUGAUGAUCUUGAGUUUUAGUGAAGUAGAUAGAAUGUGUAGUGUAGCGGUGAAAUGCAUAGAUAUUACAC
rnacentral:rRNA from 1 species